rnacentral:rRNA from 1 species
GCUAACUGAAAUCAAUCAAAACAUAAUACCAAAUAUUUGAUUGAUAAUGUAAGAAGAAAAUAAUGAUAUUAUCUUACGUUUAGUGUCGUCUAAAACUGGUGCCAGAAGACUCGGUAAGGCCGGAGACGCAAACGUUAGUCCUCUUUAUCAGGCGUAAAGGGUUUUCAGGCUGCUUUGAAAGUUUCUAUCCUUUUUAAAUUAAUUAUAAAAAUAAGAAUAAGGUAAAAGUAAUUUUAUUAUAACUCUUAUAUUAAUUAUAUUUAAAAAUUUAAUAAAAAAUAGAAAUGAAUUAAAGCUAGAAUCUAAUAGAGGUUAAAUUGAAUAAUACUUAGUUUAGGGCUAAUAUCCUAAUAGAUUAAGGAGAAUAUUAAGAGCGAAGGCUUCUCUCCACUAUAGAUUGACGCUAAGAAACGAAGGUGAGGAAAGGAAAUAGGAUUAGAUACCCGAAGUACCCCUCACUGUCAACGAUGAAUGGUAGUCAUUAGUGUAUAUUUAUAUUAGUGACGUAGUUAACACAA